rnacentral:rRNA from 1 species
UGAGUAACACGUGGGCAAUCUGCCCUAAAGACUGGGAUACCACUUGGAAACAGGUGCUAAUACCGGAUAACAACAUGAAUCGCAUGAUUCAAGUUUGAAAGGCGGCGCAAGCUGUCACUUUAGGAUGAGCCCGCGGCGCAUUAGCUAGUUGGUGGGGUAAAGGCCUACCAAGGCAAUGAUGCGUAGCCGAGUUGAGAGACUGAUCGGCCACAUUGGGACUGAGACACGGCCCAAACUCCUACGGGAGGCAGCAGUAGGGAAUCUUCCACAAUGGACGCAAGUCUGAUGGAGCAACGCCGCGUGAGUGAAGAAGGUCUUCGGAUCGUAAAGCUCUGUUGUUGGUGAAGAAGGAUAGAGGCAGUAACUGGUCUUUAUUUGACGGUAAUCAACCAGAAAGUCACGGCUAACUACGUGCCAGCAGCCGCGGUAAUACGUAGGUGGCAAGCGUUGUCCGGAUUUAUUGGGCGUAAAGCGAGCGCAGGCGGAAUGAUAAGUCUGAUGUGAAAGCCCACGGCUCAACCGUGGAACUGCAUCGGAAACUGUCAUUCUUGAGU